UUAGUACGGCGAGUGAAGCGGUAAAAGCUCAAAUUUGAAAUCUGGUACUUUCAGUGCCCGAGUUGUAAUUUGUAGAAUUUGUCUUUGAUUAGGUCCUUGUCUAUGUUCCUUGGAACAGGACGUCAUAGAGGGUGAGAAUCCCGUUUGGCGAGGAUACCUUUUCUCUGUAAGACUUUUUCGAAGAGUCGAGUUGUUUGGGAAUGCAGCUCAAAGUGGGUGGUAAAUUCCAUCUAAAGCUAAAUAUUGGCGAGAGACCGAUAGCGAACAAGUACAGUGAUGGAAAGAUGAAAAGAACUUUGAAAAGAGAGUGAAAAAGUACGUGAAAUUGUUGAAAGGGAAGGGCAUUUGAUCAGACAUGGUGUUUUUUGCAUGCACUCGCCUCUCGUGGGCUUGGGCCUCUCAAAAAUUUCACUGGGCCAACAUCAAUUCUGGCAGCAGGAUAAAUCAUUAAGAAUGUAGCUACUUCGGUAGUGUUAUAGCUUUUUGGAAUACUGUUAGCCGGGAUUGAGGACUGCGCUUCGGCAAGGAUGUUGGCAUAAUGGUUAAAUGCCGCCCGUCU
rnacentral:rRNA from 1 species